GUACACAUCCAGUCGAACCCGUAUGGUGAAUCACCCAUCUUGAUAAUCCCCAGGCUUGCACUGUGCAACAACUCUUCUCUACUUUCAGCAUAACAUUCAGUAAUUUGCAUGAGAUAUUCACAAUGCGUUUCUAUUUAAAAGAGAGUCUUUUGUGUUAGCCGAUUUUUUGAAGAUUGUUCUAAGUAUUCUGGUUGUGAUUAAAAAAGACCAACCUUAGCUCUGAUAUUGGGAAGAUUAAGGGUAGUUAAUGAAUUUUUAUGUGUGUAGUACUAAUUUCUGGCAUCCCAGUCACCUGUUCCUCACUCAUCUAUAUCUAUAAGCCCUGAAAUAUAUUUUUUAAUUGCAUUUUGAACUUAGGAUGCAUUUAUAUAAGCAUAAACCCUUCAUCCAUUGGGGAGCAACUAACUGUUUUUGUAUAUAAACUUACUAGCUGUAAGCUGUUUCUGUCUGUCUGUCUGUCUUUCUGUGUGUGUGUGUGUGUGUGUGUGUGUGUGUGUUUUACUCAUUUCUUCCAUCUCUAAGGCUUUUUGCUCCAUCUGCUGAUUGACUUUCUGUCGUUUGUGGAAUGUGAUCUGGAAGCAAGUGCCAUUGCAUCUCCUCUGUUAAAUGAACUUGAGAGCUCUUAGGCCAUCUGUGGGCUGAGCACCAGAUACUGGUACCAGAUGACUUGGGUGUCUUGCUCUCUUUACUGACCGCAUUUCCUUGGGAAAGUAUUCUCCGAGCUUCUCUGAGUCUGUUUCCCCCUCUCAGCUAGUUGAUUCUAAAGGGUUGGAGGCCUACUUGUCUGCAAAGGUGACUAUGGGGAUUGAAGUUAGGUAGGAGGCAGGUGUUACCAGCAGGUUAUAGGACAGGUACUUCCCAAAGAACUGCUGUGUUCUCUAGGCUCCAGGUCCUCUUGGUCACUAUUUCCUUUCCAAAAAAGGUAAUAAAAUAGGAACCACUGGGGAGUCAGCCUCAGGUAAACAAAAGCGGGAAUGAUCUUCAGGAGCAGCAAGGCCCCCACAACCUUCGUGGGAGGAUUGGGGAAGGGGCAUGUUUUUGGUGAAAUACACCAGGACACCAUCAUCAUAUCUCUACCACUGCCUCUGCUUAUUCUGAACCUGCUGUUACUCAUUCCCGUUACUAUCCCAGCCUCCACUUGUACUAUUGCUGCCUCUUACUUUUUGUGUCUCCUCUCUACUAGCUUCUCAUGGUUAAUUUUGUCUUUAUUCUUACCAACUUCCUUCACACUCUCAGAAUUACAAUGUAGAUUGGUGGUGGUGGGGCUGGGAAUGUAUAAUGUUUAACUUCCUCAGACAUUUCUGUGGACAGCUUGAAGUCUACAGCCUGUAACAAACCUUCUAAUAAAUAUGUCUGGCUUAACUCUCAUCUUACAAAUGUUCUUGGCAUUCUGAUGAACUGAGGUAGGGGGAGAGCAGUGUGAAUAAAGUUGAGUAUAAAUACAUACAAUCUAGGAAAUGGUUGAUACACAAGAGAGGUGUAGAAAAAGGUGAAAUUGGAUUUCAGAGACAGGAAAUGUCAAGUCCAGCAGGGAGCCAAUAAGGAUUUAUGGCACAAAUAACACAAAUUGAAUUAAGUCUACAGGGAAGACCAGAUUUGGAGGUGUCAAAAUAGGGAAGGAGUCCAAAAAAGCAAAGAACAGAAGUGUGAAAGGAAGUUUAGACUGGAGGAAUUAAGGAAUAGCCACAGAGUUAAUGGCGUCUUCAUUUUGUUAGAGCAGGCAGGAUGUGAACAGUGGAUGGCGAGUGACCAAGGGAAGUAGACCUCAAGAUAAGACGGUAGGUAUAACCACAGUGCUUUUCUUUGGUGAAAAUAUAAAUGGAAUAUAAUUUAUAAGGCUUGAUCUGUUUCAUUACAUGGAUCUGUUGGAUGGAAUAUUGCAAACUCACCGGAAUGAGAUUUUGCUAAGUCAAUUAAGUGGGUUCUUGACUUUCUCCCUUCUUUCGAAAAGACAAUGACACUAUUAGUAUUGAUUUGUGUGCAUUGACUACUGUCCCCAAGAUGAAACAAAUCUCUGAUAAGAAUAGGGCUGGAAAGACUCUGGAUGGAUUCCCAAUUUCCUUAAGGAAUGACCUGGGGCAAGUCAUUUUCUUUGUCACUCUUGGUCCAGGCCUCAUGUCUAUAAUCUUGCAGGGUAGCUAGUUAUUUGACGGCUGCUUCCCCAGCCUUUCUGAGUCUAUAAUCACAUACACUUGACCUCUUCAGCUUCAUUUCCGAUGAAAUCAUUCAUUAUUUGAGUACUAGCAAAGAGAAAGGCACUCGAUGCUGAUGGCGUGGAUAAUCUUCCUUAUGAAGAAGCCUCAGCUGAAAGCUGUGCUUAGAUUCAUGUGUUAUAUGGAGAAGAAUUCUGGCAAAUUGAAUUUUCUUGUUAAAAGAUUAAUUAGCAUAUGACCUAGUUAAACCCUUGCUGUUAGCAACACAUGUCAGGUAUGUAGAACAUUUUUCAUGUAAGAAAUCUAAGUCCUAAAUUAUGAAAACAAGAUCUAAGCGCCAUAUGUGUGUAAACCUCUGUGAUAUUGUCAUUAAGUACUGUGGCACUAGUAACAGCUGUCACUCACUGAAUAUUUAGUGGCAGCCAGAUACUCCUGAAAGUUUUACACGUGUUGUUCUUCUUAAGAUUUACGAAAACCACAAAAGCUAAGCAGGAUAUCGCUUGUGUAAGUUAACCCUCCAGAAAAGUUGUGAUCUUGAGACCCUGGGAAUGUGCACUUAGAUAAAAGAGUCUUUGCAAAUGUGAUUACGUUAAAGAUUUUGAGAUGGGCAAAUUAUCCUAGACUACUGAAGUGACCCCAAUAUCUAGGGAAAAUCAUCCUUCAAAAAGAAUGCACCAUGAGCCCAACAGAGAGUGGAGUGGGGCAGCCACAGAGCUGAAAUGCACUGAGCCACUGGAAGCUGGGAACACAUGGCCUGCUCCAGGGUUUGGAGAGGAGGAUGCUCCUCCUAUCCUGUCAGUAGAAGACUCGGGCAUCUAGAAGUAUGACAGCAUACAUUUUUCAUCUAUUUUAAACAACCUAGUUUGUGGUAUCUUGCUACCACCUCAGAAGCAACUACUACAUAUUCCUUUACACAUAUAUGAAUAAGGGAUAGAAGAAUUAAUUAGCUUGCCUCUGUCAGAAUGCAAAACUAGUAGCCCAGACACCCUUAGAAUUUCCUUUUAAAUUUAGUAGAAUACUACACCCUGUAUCUGUCUCUGCCUCCAAAGAAAUACACAGACAGCUGUAGGUGGGGAUAUGCAUCCUAGCUUAUGGUUAACAAUCAGGAAUAGUGUCCUAUAAGAGUUGAUACUGUUCUGAGUUUUAAUGAUAAUGCUGCUGCUGCUGAUAAAGUAUUUUUCUAGAGACUAAAGUGAGGAAAACUUUCUAAGCAGACCCAGCCUCCAUGGAGGGGAAAAUAAAACAGGGAGCCUUUAGAGAGCUGAAGUUGGUGGCAUGGAUCUGAACGUUUCGGGAAGGGGAAUGGAAGGUGACGCAGGAUGCAUAGGUGAAAACAAGCUAGUGGUAGACCAUCUGUGCCAGAGAAGAGAUAAUGAAUUCUGUGGCCAAGUCUGAUCAUAUAUCUCUUAAAGGAUUGCUGUGGAAAGCACUAUGGGGGCUGGUUAGAGUGGACUGAGACUAGAGGCAGACUCCCUGGAGUCAGAACUGUGAUACACAUAGCAGAAUUAGCCUUGCCUGUGCACAGGGGAAAGCAGCUUUGCAAGACACUUUAGGGAGGUAACCUGAGUGAGAUGCAAGGACCAGUGGAUAUCAAGGGCAAAGGGAAGGAAGGAGGGGGCAGGGGCUGCAUUGGAGACUUUCAGCUCAGAGAACCGGGUUGAUGGUAAUGUCAUACGGUUGGUGAUGGUAUAUGCGAUCUUAUUGUUCUGUAUGUUCACACAUCUCUAUGUUAAUCAUGGCUUUAUGAAUUGAGGCUGGUACAGCAUGCCACACACUGCGAGAGAAGGAAGCGGGUGACUGAUCCACCUCCGUACUGCAGACAGGAUAUCUAUUCACAUUUUCUAAGUAAGGCAGCCAUGUUAAGAUGAUUUGAUAACUGAAUGUCUCGGGAUCGAUGUCUUAUAACCUCUAACCUCAGAUUCUAGCUUUCUUCUUGCUGCUUCUGGGACAGACAGACAGGAUGCUAUCCAUCUCUUUGUAUCUGACCUUCUACAUUUAUUAGCCAUCUGACCUUUGCAAAUUUGCUUAACCAUUCUGUACCUUGAUUUCAGCAGCUGUCAGAGGGGGACGAAAAUUACAGUGUCUGCUCUCAUUAUCUCAGACAAAAGCCUGAGAUAAUCUCUCAGAAAAAGCUUAGAAAAUAUGAGUAAUUAUUUUUUAUGACAAGCCCCAGGUUUUCCCCUGCAAUUGUGUUUAUUGAACUAGUCCCUGAGUUCAUUCAGAAAGUUUCCCUGUGCUUUGCUGAUUUUCUCUAACAUGUCUAUAACAUGAGUUCAGUACUAAGUGUAGACUCAAAAGUCUAGUGUUACUUAAAUCUGUCUAGCUAGGGAGGGAGAACGGGUUUUGUGUCAGGGAAGAGUAGAGAGAGAUGGGCAAGAAGGAAGAGUAAGGAGAGGGGAGAUGAUAGAAGCAUGGGGAAAAGCAUUAAUGUAACUACUACAACAGAAGCAUUAAUCUGUGUACCUUAUGUGGUUGGAUAACAUUUCUACCUGCUAGGCUUUCUUGUGUAAGGUUUCAUGUAGGCUAGUUUGGACAUGAAGGUCUUCUUGAUCCUCCUGCCUUAACUUCUGAAUGCUUGGAUUUUAGAUCUAGGUCACCAUAUCCAUGUCAAAGAAUAAGUAAGUAAGAAAACAAAUAAGCAAAUAUAUAAAUAAAUAUAUAUUUCUAUCUAAAUAACUUCAACCACAUAUCAAAUAUGCUUUUCUAAGGUUGUAUAAAAAAUACUUACUUCUUUGGCAAUGGCAUUUCAUUGUCCUUGUGACUCCCAGACAGAAGGUGUUUGCAGAUAGAUACAUGUUUCCCUAAAUUUAGAUCUGAUCUUAACAAAAGCUUGUGACCCCCUCAGAUUCAUGACCUAGGUUUUGGUUCAUGUUACAGUUCCAUAGCUAGGUGUGGAUGAUGGUUCAUCUUGCAAACCCUGGAGUCUAGCACAGCCGUGUCUUCUGUGAAGAAAAUGUGGAAUUUCUCAUCUUAUAGAACUACAUCCCCCCCCCCCCCGCAAAAACAUAAACAAAAUCAAACACCAAACCAAACAAAACCUCAGGAUGAGAAGAGAACAAGAAACAAGCACAGGUCAAAAUCAGGAACACUCCAUGUGGAAUGGGCAGAGAUGUACACAAUGCAAAGUAAUACCAUCUCGGAUCUAUCUUUUUAAAACAAUGCACAAAGUUGUGGCAAAGCAAAAAUGAAGAAAUGGUGAGCGGACAGUUGUGUAAUUAACAAAACAUAUCUUUUCUCAGAGGGGAGUUGCUAUCUGUAUUUCACAACUCUGCUGAAGUCUCUACAAGGGUGAUAAGAGUUAGUCGGGUAUAGUGGGAGGAAGACUGCCCUGGGAACCAGGUUAAACUCUUUCUCUUUCUUAAGCUCUUAAGCUAGUUGGCAUUGAGUUUUAUUACAGACAACUGUAAGAGCCCUGGGAAAUCUUCAGUGUGUGGGAGUGGGGUAGAAGAGGGGAGAAGGGGGUGGGAACCUUGAGCCCAGCUCAACACAAAAGACUUAUGCUUCAGAGUAGAUCAGCACAAUAUUUUAAAAGAUUCUACUCGGAUUUCUUUUCUUGAUUUUUCCAGAUUUGAACCAACUACUACUGAGGCCAUUCUCAUGUUAGAGUUAAGGCCUAAGAGUACAGCCACUGUUACUGGUUUACAAUUAUGUGAUUAGAGAAAAGAGAGAUGGUUUCAGAAGAGAAUGAGAGCUGUGCAAACAAGAGAUGUACGUGCAUGCCCCUUCUUUCUAUCUUACCGGUCGAUCUUGCAUGACGGAGAUCACAUCUUCCCACUGGAGUCCUAUGCUGGACACGUUUUGUUAUUGAGGACUCAGAUUCCACCUUAUCCCUCACCCACACCCCCCACCCCGGCAUCUUCUCUGGCGGCCCUGAUCCAUAAAGGCCAUUUUCUCUGAUACAGCACAGUGCUUUACGGAUCACCAGCCUACUCCAGCCAGUUGAAUUUGAAUCUCACAUAGUCGAGUUUCCAGGCCAUUUGCUUCCUUUAAUGUCCUUCUCAUUUCUUUCUCCUUCUGCCUCCCCAUUACUAACUUAGCUCACCCUUUCAUUUCUUCUCACUUGGAUGAUCAGAUAUUUUCAUAACUUUUUUCCAGUGAUCCAAUUUUCUUCAGAGGAAUCAUUCCAAAGGCACACAGCUCUGACCAUGACAACAGACCGUUUGUACCAGAAAGGUACAGUGGGGAGGCAGAUGUAAUGGAGACAGAAACCCACCUUGUGUUGGAGGCCCCUUUCUGAAAAGCAGACCUUGUCUAACAGGUCUGACAAGAAGUAUUUUGGCAAGGUCAAAACCAACUGGCAAAUAUUUCCAUACAUGUGCUGAUAGGACAUAACAAUGGGACUGAACUGAGGUGAACUGAGGUAAUGGUAAAGCAACUAUCAAGACAAAUGAGAACAUUCUGGGACUGUUGUUGCCCUAGUAUAGUUAUGAACGCAGCCCAGAACAAAAUCAUAAAGUUACUUAAAACACUGCUUCCUUUUUUUAUUCAUUUAGUAUUUGCAAUGUAAGGUUCAAAAGUAUGAACUUUGUGGAUGACAACAUCAUAUUGCAAUGUCGAAAGGUUGGACACACGCCUGGAGGAAACACAGAAUUUCAUACUAAUGGUCUUUGAAAUCCUAGCCAGGAUUUCACCGGUGUGAACUGUUUGUGAAGACAGAGAUAUAGCUGCCUGCUGGUUACAUAGUAUGCCUUUAUCAUGCUAAUAGACACGUCUAUAUAUUCCUCUAGAACAUAACUACUAUAGACUGAGCACCAUAGACUACAAGAGACACAUGGUGAUCAUGUUAGCAGAGUGGAUGGGGCAAAAAGAAAGGAAUAGAUUUUUUGAGUUUCAUAGGUUCCAACACACCCAGCCAUAUGUUUUCUGUCCAGUAAGUUCUCAAAGUAGGUUUACUGUAUUGAAUAUCAACACAUUCCACUGAACCUUGUUGCCUGACUUCAUGGAAACUAGAGAAGAAUAACCAGAUUCUUUAGGGAAUAAGGAAUAUGUUUGCAGCCAAAAAUAUGAUUUGAGUUCAUCUGAUUUGCUAUCUUGCCCAUUAAAGAAAAUACUUCCUUACAUGUUUUCUUUCUCCCCAGAUUAUGUUCCUUGAUAAAUGAAGAUUCCAUGUUUCAAGAGACAAAAGAGCCAAGUGGUGUGUGUGUGUGUGUGUGUGUGUGUGUUUUAUUGGUGCUUGUUCAAAUGUAUGUCCUUCAUUUGGCUUCCUGUUCUGCAAUAUGUCAGUUUGAUAUAGACUCUCUGUACCAUAAGGAAAAGGAAGAGAUGGCUUAGGGCUACUCUCUUGGUAACACAUCAUGGGAUUGUAAGCUUAGGAAGGACUGAGGGGUUUUUGUUUGUUUGUUUCUUUUUUAUUUUUUAGAAUUUCUGCAAAGAAUUUCGGAAAUCUAACUAGUGGGCAAAUGUGACCUACUAAGCCCUUGCUAAGGGACGUGAUGAUAGGUUUGGUUCAGCUCUGCACCCUGUCCUCUCACAUAUCUGCCAUCAUUACAUGAUAUAUCCUCCAAGAUCUCUUGAUGUUCGGGACUAUGGUCAUCUAUUUUCAUUUUCUUUUGACCUUCAACCUUCACAAAAGGGUUACAUAGAUGCUUGUAGACUAAAUAAGUACUUCACAAUCUUUCUCAACCUGUGGUCUUCCAUUUGAUGUUGACAUUGUCACACUAAUUAUACCUUUAGCAUCAAUUCAAUAAAAAGCUGCAACAAGCCAAAUCUAUUCUGAGCUUACCACCUGUUAAAUUAAUGCCUGCCAUUAUAGCAAAACACCAAAUGUCUAACACUUACUUGACACUUUACAAUAGGCCAGCAACAAGUUUAAGCACUUCAUAGUGAUUCUUUUUCUGGUGCUUGAGGUACCUCUCAUAGAUAGGAAAGCAUCCUGGAACACAGGACAAAGUAAUAUAUCUAAUAAACAAGAAAGCAAGGGUUAAACCUAUCCAGUAUGUUUCCAAAUUUUGCCAAUGCUGUUUAGAUGCUCAUUUAAAGAAAGUGCAAGUCUGUUAGCCAGUUGGCAGAUCCUAGUUGUUAAUUGUAGUAUUGUCAUGGUGACAAUACUAUAUUGAGAUAGUGUAUGCAGAGAAACUGGACAGACAGCUAUGCCCACUCAGGAAAUGUUACAGCAUCAAAGACUGAUAUGGGAAUUGUCAAAGGUUUUGCAACACUGACCUUUGUCAAAGGGUGAGCCAGCUGAGGGUGUGGGCAUGGUACUGGGACCACUGCCAUUGCUGUUUUUAGUUCUUAAAGUUAGUAUUUGGGCCUUGGAUAACAGUAGCAGCUGCAACAGCAGACGGAGCAGGAGAAUAUACCGAUGCCCGUGUUGAACUAUGGGGACAAGAGAGUCAUUUAGGUCAUCAGGACUCGAAGUACCAUGAUCUGAAGAAGAAGACAAAAGCUAAAUAACACAAAGAUGGUCCAUCAAGAGUCAAGCACAGAGGGAAAGGCGCUCAGGAGUUCCUAUUGAACUUUUCAAUUCUUUGCUGAACGCUUUGGUACUGAUAGAUUCAGGGAGGAGGGGAUUGUUUUCUUAAGUUGUGUUCCCAUUGGUUAUACCACCAUACACCAACAGAUAGUUGAAUCCAGUGCUCACACAGAUGGCCCUGGUUAAUUAAAUGAGUCACAAAACAGCAACAACAACAAAAAGAUUUGGGAAAGGAGCUGUUAGGGAUGGAAGCAGACUUGCAGGAAUGGGAGGGAGAUAAAACAGGUGUUGGGGGAGAAGGUAAUCCUAAUAUACAAUAAACAUGUAUGCAAUGUCAACAGAAUUAAUAAAAAAGACUUUUAGUUAGGCAUAUUUCAGGGUACCUCUGUGAAAUCCCCUAAUGCCUAGAGGGACUUUCCAUUAGAGACACAGGACUGACCAUUUGAACUUGACCUUCCUUUCAUGCUGCUGUGACUUAGGACACAGUCAUUUCACUUGUGGGGAUCUUUGAUAUUUUCUAUGACCCUCAUCUUACAGCCUUGUUGGGGACAAGCUUGGUGGGAAGCUCUUCCACUGUGGGAGUCAGAUAUAUGGAAUGGGUCAUAGAACUCACCCAUAGAUUUCUAAAUUCACAAGAAAGUGAGGAGUUUGCUAAACACUGUGACCCUGGGCAAAUGGACUAAGGCAAAACCUGAGAAGUGAAUAAGUAUGAAGGUUUACCAUCUCAGAUCUUAUGUAUGUAGCCAGCAUGAACCUCAAAAAAGUUUAUUACUUUUGAACUAGACACAUAGAGGAGUUGAUUGGGUGGAUAUUAUUGCA
rnacentral:lncRNA from 1 species